rnacentral:lncRNA from 1 species
UCCCAUUGCUUGCUGCCUUUCCCAUUUCAUGAAAGCCACCUCAAACGUACCCUUUCAUAGUUUCAUCUCUCUCUCACACACACAUAUUCCCUUUCUCUCUCUAGGCAUUAUUCCUCUGAUUUCUUUUACUACUACUACCCCUUCCUUCUCUCUCUCUCUCUAACCUUAUUCCCCCAACAUGGACAAUGCCAAUGCUCUCUUUCUCUCUCUCAUCAGCCCUGCCUUUAUAGUAGCAUCAAGCUUUCUUUCAUUCUCUCUCUCUAUGUCUAGAGGCACUUCCUUUUCUCUCAUCUCUCUAGUUCUCUAGAACACACACAAACCCCCAUAC